rnacentral:lncRNA from 1 species
GGAUAAUCUAGCAAUAAGCCUGGAUAACCAGUCUUCUCCAUCUCCUCCAGUUUUGAUCCCACCACUCAGAAUGUUUGCAUCAUGGCUGUUUAAGGCGGCGACACUGCCAAAUGAAUAUAAGGAAGGCAAACUACAAGCCUACAGGCUGAUCUGUGCCAUGAUGACCAGACGCCAGGACGUUCUGCCAAACUCAGAUUUCCUGGUGCAUUUUUACCUUGUGAUGCACCUGGGAUUAACCAGCGAGGAUCAGCAGAGUUGAGAUCACAGAUAAAUGAGCACAGAAGCCACGAAGAGCUGG